AUGUCCGGGAAGAGACCCUGCCGCCUGCCAGGUGCUCCCGAGACCCAGGCCUGUCCCAGCGCAGGGCCUGAGAGAGAGGAGAGAAGGCCAGGGUUUCCAGGCUUGAAGGGAAGCAGCCGAGCCACCAAGGGAGAGGGAACCUCGGCUCAUCGUGGGCCCGGAAGCAGGUUUACGGCUCACCCCAGACCCUCUGCUCAAAUGCCCACCAUGGAGUUGCUGCUUCCAAAGGUCGGUCCCUCUGAAGGAACAGAAUGUGGGGAGGGGUUGAUUGACAGCUGAUAGUGCUUCUCUAUCCGCCUGCUUUUCUGCGAACCCUGGAAAGUCACCCAUCCCCAGUAGCGCUUUUAGCUCCGGUUUCUUGCAGACCUGCUCUGAUCCAUCCAACAACCAGGAAAGUCCUGGUUAAAAACUCCAGUAAUGGUUGGAAAAGGAAAACAAAUACCCACAUUCCACAAGCUGCUGUGCAUAGUGAGACUCUAAUUCACACUUCUCGAUGGAUUGAUCUCCCUGGAAUACAUACGCUUCGUUGUAAUGCUUGGUACCCGAUCACCCACACAGAAAAAAGAGGAGCCACUCGUUCCUCGAAAUUGAAGAAGAGGACGAUUGAAAAUACAACUGCCAGCAGGACUUUUUGGUGUUUAAUUUCCCCAGAGCUUGACCUUUGCUAAGAGAGUUCAAUUUUGGCUUCUCUGUGGUAUUUGACAGAUUCCAGCUGAAGUGGAAUCUUGAGCCGCCGUAAAUGUCAGUCGCUGGAACAGAGACCUGUGAAGGGUUUGGCCCAACCCGGUAACGCUGGUUUCUCUGCUUUACAACAAGGCAGUGGGGACGCUUCUUCUGGACAGGCCCUGCUGAGUUUGGUGGCAAGUGGCACUGCUACAGCCCUGAAGGCUGAGGUCUCACCAUCUCUGGGAACGUGAGCCUGCUCUCGGCGGGAGGUGCAUUUCGGUUUUUCCACCUGAACUAAUGCACGUCGUGGGCAUGAAAACACUCCUAGAUUAGGCGUGAGGUAGGCUUCCGAGCACAGACUUAGAGUUUUAUGCACAUGAGUCAGGCAGGUCCUUCCACAGUGGACGCCACCUCGGCAUUCAGGCACUUCCUCAUGCUGGCAGUCAGUCGGGGUCAGCAGGCUGGGGGGCCUGAUUCUCCAGCCUCUUCAUCUCCUGCCACAGCUGUCACAGAAGCACCAUCACACUGGUCCCUGAGCACCUGGGACAGGCAGUCACCCUCUGACCUCGCUGGGUCAGGGGUCUUUAGAAAGAAAUAAGUUGAGGUUGAGGCGGUCGUCCGUGUGGCGUGUCCGAGCCAGUGCUGAGUGUACAGUAAACCACACGUUCAGAAACAUACAGCGCAGGCAUCGGCCUGCAGGUGGAUGGUACAGGACGGGGACAGAGGGCAGAUGGCCUCCCUGCCUUCCUGGGCACAGUGGUAAGUGGCAUUACUCACCCUCUCACAGGGAAGGGUCCUUCCAGUGAGAUGUGAGAAGAGGAGGUACCGGCCCUUUCUAGGCUGGUCGUGGAGCUCCUCCCGCAAACCCCUCCGUGUCCUCUCUUUGCUGCCGUCCAGAUGCCGAGAUCCAGGGGGGCCCUGGGAGGUGGUGGCGCAGUAGGUAGACGGGUCCUGGAGAGGCUGCGGCGGCAGAGCCCUCACACUGCCCAUGACCCGUGGUGGACUGUGUUUUGAGUGACCGAAAAAACAAAACGCUUUUAUUUGUGCAAACCACUGAGAUUUUGGAGUUAAAAUUAGCAAGAGGUGGAUUCUUGAGUUUGAAAUGAGCCAUGUUUCGGCACUUCCUUCCUUAAAAGAAAAGGUACCUAUUUCAACCUCAAACCAGCAUCUCGCUUCAUGGGGAAAUAUAAGCAUUCUCAUUACAGUUAGUAGCAGAACAAGGAUUUCCACAUUUACCAUUGCUAUUUAGCAUUGCUCUGGUGGUACUAGGCAAUGCGCUUAGAUGAGAGAAAUAAAUCAUGGGUUUUAACUAUACCAGAUAAAUUGUGGGAGGCACUGUCCCCAGUACCUCCAGAGAUUCAGUACUUGAUGAAAGGAAGCUGUAAAGAAUCCACCAAGAAUAAACAGGUCACAUAUAAAUGAUGUCAGGACAACAGGACAAACAUCGAAAUAAAACUGGAUCCCUGUCUCAAAUAUUAGCUCCAUAUAAAUUCUAGAUUUGCCAAAACUUUAAAUGUAAAACAAAUGAAACAACGAAAAUAGUAAAGAGAUCGCAGAAAAGAUUUAAAAAUAAUCUUGGAGUGGGAAAGUCCUUUCUAAAUAGGAUAUAACACUCAGAAGUCAUAAAACAAGGAUUGCUAGAUUCAAAAUACAUCAAACUUUUAAAGUUCAAGUUAAAGGACAAAGUAGGAAAAGUACUUAGAAACUGUUUCAUAAGCAAAGGGUUAAUCUUAAUAUUUAAAAUACCUAUAGGCGUUCCCAUCGUGGCGCAGCAGAAAUGAAUCCAACUAGAACCAUGAGGUUUCGGGUUCGAUCCCUGGCCUCUCUAAGUGGGUUAAGGAUCCAGCGUUGCCCUGAGCUGUGGUGUAGGUUGCAGAUGCGGCUCAGAUCCCACGUUGCUGUGGUGUAGGCCGGCAGCUGUAACUGAUUCGACCCCUAGCCUGGGAACCUCCAUAUGCCGCAGGGGUGGCCCUAAAAAGCAAAAAAUAAAAAAUAAAAUGCUUAUAAUCAAUAGAAAAAGUUUCAACUAUUUAUUUAUUUUUCCACAGUUUAAUAAGUGGGGACAGGAUCAGAACAGGCGGGUCUCGGAGGGUCCAUAUGAAUGAAUGAACCUUCUACCGAGCUCUUCCCGCGGCGGGUCUCGGGCCUGGGAAGGUAGACGGGCCUGUGGAGACCACCUGCCGGCACCGUCACCCGCCUGCAGAGUGUCCGUUCAGAAGGCGCCCAAGUCAGUUAAACUCUCGAAAGCGCAUGGGUUCUUCUCCGUCGGAACUACAACCGCUGUGACUCGGUGGUUCCCUUUCGAGGGUUUUUGCGGCCCUCCCUGCGCACGUGCGGAGCGACCCGUCUCUAAAGCUGUUCGUUGUAAGGGCCAAGGUUAACCUAAGUGCUGCGACGAGGACGGGAGGG
rnacentral:lncRNA from 1 species